GGCGUGGGACGCGGAGGAUCAUUACCG
rnacentral:rRNA from 1 species